UCCUAAUCAGCAGAUACGCAGUACAGGACGAAACCAUUGCGGAGUAUCGUGUUUGAGCAGACAAAACCCCUAUUUACUGCUGCUGUCGUGGAGGCAUGCGAUCAUCCUUUAAACUGUUUUCCUUCCUUGAACGAAUGAUGAUUUAGUAAAACAAGGCGAAAAUCAUGCGAGCGAUGAUGGAGAAUUUGCGGCAUGUUUAUAAGCUUGAUAACCCGAGAAAGAAAUAUUGAAAAAAACGAAUCCUUCGUCGAUGAUUAGAUAUGUUUACGCAAUUAUAAGAAAUUUACAUCCGUAGAAACGUAUGAAAUGGAUAUAAUUUGAAAGACAUACAAAAUAUCCAAAGCAAAUAUCCUCGUUGUAACAUUUACAAACUUUUUGUAC
rnacentral:misc_RNA from 1 species